GACGAACGCUGGCGGCGUGCUUAACACAUGCAAGUCGAACGAAGUGGCGAACGGGUGAGUAACGCGUAAUCAACCUGCCCUUCAGAGGGGAACAACAGUUGGAAACGACUGCUAAUACCGCAUACUGAAGGAGGGGAUUGCGUCUGAUUAGCUCGUUGGAGGGGUAACGGCCCACCAAGGCGAAGAUCAGUAGCCCGGCUGAGGGGAUGAACCGCCACAUUGGGACGGAGACACGGCCCAGACUCCUACGGGAGGCAGCCGGGGGGAAUCUUCCGCAAUGGGCGAAAGGCUGACGGAGCAACGCCGCGGGAGUGAUGACGGCCGUCGGGUUGUAAAGCUCUGUUAAUCGGGACGCGGUACCGGAAUAGAAAGCCACGGCUAACUACGUGCCAGCAGCCGCGGUAAUUC
rnacentral:rRNA from 1 species